UACGUAGGGGGCAAGCGUUGUCCGGAUUUACUGGGCGUAAAGAGCGUGUAGGCGGCCACGCAGGUCCGUUGUGAAAACUGGAGGCUCAACCUCCAGCUGUCGACGGAAACCAUUUGGCUAGAGUCCGGAAGAGGAGAAUGGAAUUCCCGGUGUAGCGGUGAAAUGCGCAGAUAUCGGGAAGAACACCCGUGGCGAAGGCGGUUCUCUGGGACGGUACUGACGCUGAGACGGCGAAAGCGUGGGGAGCGAACAG
rnacentral:rRNA from 1 species